UACAGAGAUCCCAAGCGUUGUUCGGAUUCACUGGGCGUAAAGGGUGCGUAGGCGGUCGGGUAAGUCUGACGUGAAAUCUUCAAGCUUAACUUGGAAACUGCGUCGGAUACUAUUCGGCUGGAGGAAUGGAGGGGAGACUGGAAUACUUGGUGUAGCAGUGAAAUGCGUAGAUAUCAAGUGGAACACCAGUGGCGAAGGCGAGUCUCUGGACAUUUCCUGACGCUGAGGCACGAAAGCCAGGGGAGCAAACGGG
rnacentral:rRNA from 1 species